UAAUUUAUUAUGUUCAGAACAUGAGUUCCUUUGGAAUGACUGGUUCGACAUGGUAGAUGGUCCUGUUGAGGUCUCAUUCCAGUUCUUCAUGAACAGGGGGUUCUUCGAGCCACAAUAUCAUGAGGAUCGUGAUUAUGAGGCUGUAAUUAAGUGUGGGGUGCAUCCUAUGUUUGAAGAAGAUGAAGACGACGAAAUAUCUUACAGAUUGAAAGAAGACCAAAAACCUUCUCAUACACAGGAUAAAUCAGAUUCAGAAUGACAGCAGGUCUCUUCUUUGGUUGCAGAUUUGGGGUUUGGAGGCUUUUGUGUGUUACCUUCCUACAAAUUUUGCUGCAAAUUGCUGCAGCCAUGGCUUGGUUCUGCAGAUGCUUACACCAUUAGAUUUUCUUCUGCUGGCAUUUGUUUGGUUUUGUUACCUGCAUUUU
rnacentral:misc_RNA from 1 species